rnacentral:rRNA from 1 species
GUGCCAGCAGCCGCGGUAAUACGUAGGUGGCAAGCGUUGUCCGGAAUUAUUGGGCGUAAAGCGCGCGCAGGCGGUCCUUUAAGUCUGAUGUGAAAGCCCACGGCUCAACCGUGGAGGGUCAUUGGAAACUGGGGGACUUGAGUGCAGAAGAGGAGAGUGGAAUUCCACGUGUAGCGGUGAAAUGCGUAGAGAUGUGGAGGAACACCAGUGGCGAAGGCGACUCUCUGGUCUGUAACUGACGCUGAGGCGCGAAAGCGUGGGGAGCGAACAGGAUUAGAUACCCUGGUAGUCC